GACGAACGCUGGCGGCGUGCUUAACACAUGCAAGUCGAACGGAAAGGCCCUGCUUUUGUGGGGUGCUCGAGUGGCGAACGGGUGAGUAACACGUGAGUAACCUGCCCUUGACUUUGGGAUAACUUCAGGAAACUGGGGCUAAUACCGGAUAGGAGCUCCUGCUGCAUGGUGGGGGUUGGAAAGUUUCGGCGGUUGGGGAUGGACUCGCGGCUUAUCAGCUUGUUGGUGGGGUAGUGGCUUACCAAGGCUUUGACGGGUAGCCGGCCUGAGAGGGUGACCGGCCACAUUGGGACUGAGAUACGGCCCAGACUCCUACGGGAGGCAGCAGUGGGGAAUAUUGCACAAUGGGCGGAAGCCUGAUGCAGCAACGCCGCGUGCGGGAUGACGGCCCUCGGGUUGUAAACCGCUUUCGCCUGUGACGAAGCGUGAGUGACGGUAAUGGGUAAAGAAGCACCGGCUAACUACGUGCCAGCAGCCGCGGUGAUACGUAGGGUGCGAGCGUUGUCCGGAUUUAUUGGGCGUAAAGGGCUCGUAGGUGGUUGAUCGCGUCGGAAGUGUAAUCUUGGGGCUUAACCCUGAGCGUGCUUUCGAUACGGGUUGACUUGAGGAAGGUAGGGGAGAAUGGAAUUCCUGGUGGAGCGGUGGAAUGCGCAGAUAUCAGGAGGAACACCAGUGGCGAAGGCGGUUCUCUGGGCCUUUCCUGACGCUGAGGAGCGAAAGCGUGGGGAGCGAACAGGCUUAGAUACCCUGGUAGUCCACGCUGUAAACGGUGGGUACUAGGUGUGGGGUCCAUUCCACGGGUUCCGUGCCGUAGCUAACGCUUUAAGUACCCCGCCUGGGGAGUACGGCCGCAAGGCUAAAACUCAAAGGAAUUGACGGGGCCCCGCACAAGCGGCGGAGCAUGCGGAUUAAUUCGAUGCAACGCGUAGAACCUUACCUGGGUUUGACAUGGAUCGGGAGUGCUCAGAGAUGGGUGUGCCUCUUUUGGGGUCGGUUCACAGGUGGUGCAUGGCUGUCGUCAGCUCGUGUCGUGAGAUGUUGGGUUAAGUCCCGCAACGAGCGCAACCCUUGUUCACUGUUGCCAGCACGUUAUGGUGGGGACUCAGUGGAGACCGCCGGGGUCAACUCGGAGGAAGGUGGGGAUGACGUCAAGUCAUCAUGCCCCUUAUGUCCAGGGCUUCACGCAUGCUACAAUGGCUGGUACAGAGAGUGGCGAGCCUGUGAGGGUGAGCGAAUCUCGGAAAGCCGGUCUCAGUUCGGAUUGGGGUCUGCAACUCGACCUCAUGAAGUCGGAGUCGCUAGUAAUCGCAGAUCAGCAACGCUGCGGUGAAUACGUUCCCGGG
rnacentral:rRNA from 1 species